UCUAGGUGAAAAAGAAAGGACAUUUGAGUGAGACUCAGAAGUGGCCAGAGUCCAUGGAAGGAUUGCUUUGACUCUCUGAAACACUGCACAGACCUGUCUUCACAUUGGAGAUCUAAAACAGUGCAUGAAAGCAGACACACAGGUGUUGACCAGGCCCAUGAACCAAGCCCGCUUUGUUUGUGUUACACACGGUGAACUUUUUUCCUGGGAAGUCAGAUUGCAAAUGAAAAUUCAGAGCAGCACUUUGGAACUAACAAGUACUGAUCUCUAGGUGAUGUCCUUUUCCUUUUGGACUUGAGCUUGUUGCUUUUCAUGAGGACAUCUGAGCAGUGGGCCAAAGGCAUUCAAAGUCUCUUUUCUUUCAUCAGUGUCCUCUCUUGUGGACUUAAACCACCAAACAAAAGCAACCUCAGUAAAGCAAUGAAAGGUCCACCUCAUUUUAGGAAAUUCUUGAACAGGAAAUCUUGGUGAUUCCACGUGAUGUUACUUUUGUCUUAAAAGUCACAACGUUAUUCAUUUUAAGGAAACAAUAGUGUAACCGCGAAUCUUCGUCAGAUCUGCCUUGAAAUCAGAAGCAUCCAAAUAAGAUGAACAAGAACAGGGUACCCUCUCUCCAUUCAGAACUGAUAUUUUCACUUCCUUUUGCUUCACUCUGACAUCUAUGUUACAAAAGUGGAAAGUAGUCACUUGACAUAAAUAUAUUUAGAUAAGGACACUAGAUUUAUUUCCCUGGAAGAAUUACCCGAAGGAAGAGGACCUUUGGACACAGAUCCAGCUGCUGCACUGAAGGAAUAGAACUGAAGACCAGUGAAAGCCAAGUGUAGUAGUUUCCCAAGAAGAAUCUUGAAAACAGCCUGCCAGAAUUCAGCAGUGGGAGUAUGUGGACCACCAAGAAGGAUCUGCAGUGUAUGGAACCAGCAGAAAUUGUGCAUCACAAAGGGAAAGGCUUGGUGUUAAACAUUUGGAGAAUGUUUCCAAUUUCAGCUUCACCUAAGGUCACUUACAUGCACAAGAAUCAGUAGAAUUUUGUCCACUUGAGUUUCUGACUAUAAUAUUUGCACACUUUUUAUUAGUUGGGUUCAGGUGCUAGGAGAGGGAUCUGUUCAAUAAUUCUCUUUCAUCUGAGUAGCAGAUAAAGUAUUGAGAAGACGAUUAGUAGGUCAAAGAUCAAAAAAAAAAAAAAAGUCAUUAGCUAAGCAAUUGAUUGAUCCACUGUGAAAUCCCUGAAAUCAUUUCAUUUGUGCAUGUUUGUGUCAAGUAUAGCUAAGUGCCUCAAAAGUGACUGAUGAGGCUUUUUCUCAUUAGUAGGUCCUGUUGUUCAUCAGAUCAAGGUAGAAAAGAGUUAAUAGCUGAAAAUUACAGCAGGGAUCAAAUAGGAGAUACAAAUUUUUCAUAUCUGGUUGGAAAUGAGCCCUACACACACAAAAAUGUUCACAAUACCAGUGCUAACUUACGUUUACUGAAGAUUAUUUAAAAUGCAAUUAACAGCAACACAUGAUACUCUUAUUUCUUAGGCAGAGUGAGAAGCAUGAAAUGCUCAUGUGAUAAGAUCCAAAAUGUGAGCGUACUACUAGAAUAGACAGCCAAGUAGCCUUGUUUACUAUGGAGAGAGGAAACCCAUAUAACCAUAUUUUCCAAGUCUUUUAACAUCCAACAGGAGGAAGGUCUGUCAUGUCCAUCCUGUGUGGACGAGAGGAUUUAGGGUCCUGUGGGGCCUACUAAAAUGUAAUCUCCCUUCCCAAUUUGCCAUAAUACCAUAUUUUGGUUCUUAGUAACUAAAAUGACCACGACUAGUGUCAUUGUAGGACUGUUUUCUCCAUGUACACUCUAAAAGUGUACAUGUAACUUAUGAAGAGAGAAAAGGCUGGAGGACAUAUCUAUUUUUUUUUUCUUUCCACAGCCACAUGAAUUCAAUCCAGUUCAGAAGUUCCAGAUACCCUAUGAGAGACUGAAAUUGGCAGAAUUCAGCAGCAGAUGAGAACAGAGGAAGGCUCAUAGCAGCAACUCCUGAGAGGGGCGAGAGGCAGAUUUCAGUGAGGCAAGGCCUUGACAGUGGACCAUAAGCCUCUCCAUAGCCAAGGCACUGUCUUAGGCACCUUUGUCUUCUCAAGACCUUAAGCUCAAUAAAUACGCAGUGAAUGCAUGAGCAACUGCUAAACAGACUUAUGUAGGAAGUGGUUGCCAUUGCGGGGAGAGAGAUAAUGGGAUAGAAAACACGAAAAAGGCAAUUAUGUGUAUGCACUUAGCUCACCGUGGGGCUAAGUAGUCAGAAGGAAACCAGGAUCCAGAAACAACUAGUGAGAUGGUUAUUUUUCAACGGAACCAAAAUGACUUGAGGAGCAGAGAGAGAAGGGAAAAUACGGCCAAAGGAGAAAGUGCUCAGGCACUUUCUUCUAAGAAAACCCUAUCCUUACUUCUGUACAGUAUUGCCUUUCUAUAUUUACUCCCUAAUGAUGUUAUUGCAAAAUGCAUUAAAAAAUCCAUUUUUCCAAGUA